rnacentral:rRNA from 1 species
UAGGGAAUCUUCGGCAAUGGACGAAAGUCUGACCGAGCAACGCCGCGUGAGUGAAGAAGGUUUUCGGAUCGUAAAACUCUGUUGGUAGAGAAGAACGUUGGUGAGAGUGGAAAGCUCAUCAAGUGACGGUAACUACCCAGAAAGGGACGGCUAACUACGUGCCAGCAGCCGCGGUAAUACGUAGGUCCCGAGCGUUGUCCGGAUUUAUUGGGCGGAAAGCGAGCGCAGGUGGUUUAUUAAGUCUGGUGUAAAAGGCAGUGGCUCAACCAUUGUAUGCAUUGGAAACUUGUAGACUUGAGUGCAGGAGAGGAGAGUGGAAUUCCAUGUGUAGCGGUGAAAUGCGUAGAUAUAUGGAGGAACACCGGUGGCGAAAGCGGCUCUCUGGCCUGUAACUGACACUGAGGCUCGAAAGCGUGGGGAGCAAACA